rnacentral:lncRNA from 1 species
AAAAGUCGUAAACUGUUUGUUUGUUCAGCGAUUUCAUUCUGAUUAUCGAGUUUAUAGCAUUGAUCAUUUAGAAGCUAUAUCCAAACAAACUUCUAACAAACGAGUCUUUACAUUAUUUUAUUGCGCUCCACAAUUUUAAGGGUUUGCCAGGUCUUUAAAAAAAAACGUGGAACAGCAGAAAAAAAAAAUGUGUAGAAAUAGCAUCUCAGCAAAGUACUUGUAUAGAACCAAAUCACUGACAUCAAAUGCAGUGGCGUCAUAAUAGACCAACAUUUAGAC